GAUGAACGCUGGCGGCGUGCCUAAUACAUGCAAGUCGAGCGAACGGACGAGAAGCUUGCUUCUCUGAUGUUAGCGGCGGACGGGUGAGUAACACGUGGAUAACCUACCUAUAAGACUGGGAUAACUUCGGGAAACCGGAGCUAAUACCGGAUAAUAUUUUUAACCGCAUGGUUCAAAAGUGAAAGACGGUCUUGCUGUCACUUAUAGACGGAUCCGCGCUGCAUUAGCUAGUUGGUAAGGUAACGGCUUACCAAGGCCACGAUGCAUAGCCGACCUGAGAGGGUGAUCGGCCACACUGGAACUGAGACACGGUCCAGACUCCUAAGGGAGGCAGCAGUAGGGAAUCUUGCGCAAUGGGCGAAAGCCUGACGGAGCAACGCCGCGUGAGUGAUGAAGGUCUUCGGAUCGUAAAACUCUGUUAUUAGGGAAGAACAUAUGUGUAAGUAACUGUGCACAUCUUGACGGUACCUAAUCAGAAAGCCACGGCUAACUACGUG
rnacentral:rRNA from 1 species